CAGUCGCCACGGGAAUACAGAGGGCGCAAGCGUUGUUCGGAUUUAUUGGGCGUAAAGGGUGCGUAGGCGGUUUGGCAAGUCUCGUGUGAAAUCUAUGGGCUCAACCCAUAGCCUGCACGAGAAACUACCGGGCUUGAGUAUUGGAGAGGUGAGUGGAAUUUCCGGUGUAGCGGUGAAAUGCGUAGAUAUCGGAAGGAACACCUGUGGCGAAAGCGGCUCACUGGACAAUAACUGACGCUGAUGCACGAAAGCUAGGGGAGCAAAUGGGAUUAGAUACCCGAGUAGUCCCUGUCUCUUAUAU
rnacentral:rRNA from 1 species